UGGGGAAUUUUGCACAAUGGGGGAAACCCUGAUGCAGCGACGCCGCGUGAUUUAGAAGGCCUUCGGGUUGUAAAAAUCUUCUCUAUGGGAAGAAAAUGACAGUACCAUAGGAAUAAGGACCGGCUAAUUACGUGCCAGCAGCCGCGGUAAUACGUAAGGUCCGAGCGUUGUCCGGAAUCAUUGGGCGUAAAGGGUACGUAGGCGGGUAAGCAAGUUAGAAGUGAAAUCCUAUAGCUCAACUAUAGUAAGCUUUUAAAACUGCUCAUCUUGAAGUAUGGAAGGGAAAGUGGAAUUCCUAGUGUAGCGGUGAAAUGCGCAGAUAUUAGGAGGAAUACCGGUGGCGAAGGCGACUUUCUGGCCAUAACCUGACGCUGAGGUACGAAAGCGUGGGUAGCAAACAGG
rnacentral:rRNA from 1 species